rnacentral:rRNA from 1 species
CACGUAGGCGGACUUGCCAGUCAGGGGUGAAAUCCCGGGGCUCAACCUCGGAACUGCCCUUGAUACAGCAAGUCUCGAGUCCGGAAGAGGUGAGUGGAAUUCCUAGUGUAGAGGUGAAAUUCGUAGAUAUUAGGAAGAACACCAGUGGCGAAGGCGGCUCACUGGUCCGGCACUGACGCUGAGGUGCGAAAGCGUGGGGAGCAAACA